CUCUGGGAAGCCCACCAUCAUGAUGUGAGGAAGACCCUACAAACCCAUGUGCAGAGACUACUUGAGAGGCCCUCACGGAGAGGAAGGGAUGUGCCGAGCAGACAGCCAGCACCAACCACUGGGCAUGUGUGAGCAAGCCUUCAGGUGAUUCUGGCCUCCAGGCACCAAGCCUCUGCUAACACCAAGGGGAGCAGAGGGUACCCAUCCACACUAAACCCAGAGCAAAACGCAGAUUUGUGGACAAAAUCACUUUGGUUGUUGUUUUAAAUCACUCAGUUCUUUAGGAAUGGAACAAGCCCUCUUCAGCCAUGGCCACACCUUCUGUCCAUCCAUCUAACCAUCAUGCUCACCACCCUUGUCUGAUCCCUGAUGGUUUUGUCUCCUCCACUAGAAGCAAGGUAUCUCAUAUCAAUACCCCCAAGUCUCACAGAGAACGGGGCCUCCACAAAUAAUCAUCCUCAAUAAUGAGCUCCAAAGAGAGCCAAGGAAAUGAAGAUAGUGUUGGAUCUAUCAUCACAAGACUCAGGUUGCUGGGGCUCAGGGACCUGCUACUGGGUGAUCAACAUCUUCAACCACGCCACGUGUACCCGGCAGUUCCUGCUUUCUGCCCGAGGACUUGAUCAGAUGGCAGUGUGAGGCAUUCAGAGGGUUAUGCGAUAACGGCCACAAAACUUAGGAGACCCUUGGAGUUAGACGACAAAGAGGAAGCAUCAGCAGCUGUGACCUGGGCAGCCUUCCUGGGGACAUGUGGCCACUGCCACUCAUGGUGGCAUUUCUUCUGUCCCACAGGGGAGAGUCAGCUUUGUCACUCCCAUGCCACCCAGGAAAGAAGCUAAGGAUCCAGUUGAUCCCAGAGCUGGCAGCAUCCCAGUUCCCUUAACACUGAUGUUCAGCUGGUUCACUCUCAAGUUCUCUCUGGGAAAAUCAUCCGGGGCCAUGAGGCCAAUCCUUAUUCUUGUCACUAUCUGGCAUUUCGUCUGAUCCAGACUCCAGAGAAAAGAAAAAGCUGUGAGAGUUUCCUCAUGUGUGAGGACUUUGUGCUGACAGCAGCCGCUGGCUGCUGAGGAAGUUGAGGAACAGCAUGUGGCCCCACCCUUCUGGUGACACUUCAUAGAGAACUGCCUUCUCAGGAGCUGCAGAGCUGGGCCACCUAGUAACACAGAAGAGCCCUUCAGAGGACAACUUGAAGAGGAUGGCCAACCUGACUGACUCUGUGAGCCCCCUCAGGCUGCCCAGGAGGAGAGAGCUGGCAAAGUCAGGGACGGUGUGCAGUGUGGCUGACUGGGAGCACCUUGGUGGGAGCACUCCCUUCGCCAUAAAACUGUGGGAAGUAGAGCUUGAUAUCCAAAGGGAUGAGCAACGCAUCUCUCACUACAAAGACCAUUACAACAGCGUCACCCAGAUAUGUGUGGGGGACCCAACAAAGAGUAAGACUCUUUUUAAGAGUAAUCAAUGUCUCCCUUGGGGCCUAUAACAUCCAGAAGCAGGGGAAGACCCAGCAGGUCAUGACUGUGAGACAAGCCAUCCGCCACCCAGACUAUAAUCCUAAGAACCUCUCCUAUGACAUCAUGUUACUAAAGAUAAGGGAACCUCCCUGCUGCUCUUGCUGUCCUGGGUCCAGAUUUCUUCCCCUCCCACUGGAACCUCUCUCUUCCUUCCUUCCCAUCCCUGCCACCUGACUAGUCCCAAUGGUUCAGGGGAGAGGGAAGUCAGUGCAGCCCCAUCGCGGUGUCCAGGCCCAGGAGGCCAGUGGCUGAGCUGGACUUUCUUGCCUCUUCCCAUCAGCUGGAGAGACAGGCCAAGCAGACUACAGCUGUGAGGCCCCUCAGCCUGCCCAGGGGCAAGGCCCAGGUGAACCCAAGACAGGUGUGCAGUGUGGCCGGCUGGGGGAAAGUCUCCCCGGCAGACAGAGUGUCCGACACACUGCAGGAUGUGGAGCUGACUGUGCAGAAGGAUCAUGAUUGUUACUCCCACUUCACCCACCAUUACAACCAGGCCCCCCAGAUUUGUGUAGGGGACCCGAAGAUGAUGAACAACAGCUUCAAGGGGGACUCCAGAGGACCCCUCAUCUGCAACAAGCUGAUCCAGGGUAUCUUCUCCUAUGGACAAAACAACAGGACCCCUCCAGGAGUCUUCAUGAAGGUCUCACACUUUCUGCCCUGGAUAAAGUCAACAAUGAAGUGCUUCUAACAGCAGGCAGGAGUCUGACCUUCCUCUGUGCCUGACCAUCUUUUCUGGGGCAGAGGCAGGACUCCCAUGGGGCGGGCAGUGGGACUGAGGGGCCAUAAUAAACGGAUCUCUAGCGAGUGUGACUGAAGUCUCACGGACUCACUGAACCACUUUCAACACACAACAGCAUGCUCCAGGCAGCCCUCUGCUGUCAGUUGUGGCUGUCCUUCCUCCUUCCUCCUCCAGCCCUCCUUCCCCCUAAACCCCAUGCUGUAUCCUUUCUCGGUCACAGCUCUGUGGUGCUGAGCCCUGUGCAAGGGCUGAGUCUGAAGGCUGCCCAUUAUAAUAGGACAAACUUCUUCCCCAAAAUAUGUUCCUCCCUGGUCUUUAGAAAGUUCUUGCCUUCUCUAACCCAACCACCAUCACCAACACCCUGACAAUUUGGCAGAGAGAGGAGCAGGUCAGUGGAAGGGGAAUAACUCCAGGGAGACAGGAGGCCAGGGGGCCAGGCCGUGGGCACUGAGUUUCCUGUUUCCAGGGCUUCUGUCUCCAGUGGGGCAGCUUCUCCUACAGCCAGGACCAUCUUCAGCUUCUGACGCUCAGAUGCUGCCAUGAUGGCCUCCAGCCUCACUCUGGUCCCAUUUCCUGCCCUACCCCGGGCACAGAACUGAGCUCGCUCAACCUUCAUCCCUGGCUGACUAUCCCACACCAACCUCUAUUUUCCUUCUGACUGCCCUGUCUACCAGCUCCUUUCCCUUCCAGCCCACCGUGUUUUGAGCCAGCUUCUCUCUCAUCUCCCUAACCGAGUUCCCAAAGUCCCAUGUGAAUUCCCCUCUAUGGCUUGUCCCUGUCAUGCCUGAGCUGCCGGCCCACCUGAUGCCUAUCAGAGGACCCAGUACGCACUUCCCACCUGAACAGAGACAGUUCAGGUCCUCCAUCCAGCCUAGCAUUCCCAGGGCCAUAUCCACAAUGUCCUGUGAAGUCACUCAGCAGCCUUAGCCCCUUUCAGCCUGGCCGGUCUCCCCCUGCUGGCAACCUGGUUUACGGCAGCUCAGUGUGCCUGAGGGCUCCAGGGCUGCUGGGCCAGAAAGUACCACUUGGCUGUCCAUCAGUAAGUCAACUAUGAUCUCUUGCUUUGUGCCUGACACAUAAGAGGCUGUGUCCCUGAUACUCGGAAACUUAGAUGGAGGGCAAUUUCCUCUACAUUCUCUUAGUUCCUCCCCUUCCCCCAGGCAGGUCAGUUUGGCAGAUAGAUUGGUAUUUGGAAACCACAAGACAUUU